CAUGGACAAAAUAUAAGAAAAUAGUUGAUCUUUCUUAAAUACCUUUUCAUUUCUCUUUUCAGUGCCUAUGAAAUCCCGUUGACCUUCCACACUACUUCAUUUGAAUCUGAUUAGACACUCACUGCCUUCAUGCUUCCUCGUGGCUGUUAAGACGUUUGGUCCAAAGCUUUAAUCUUUACUGCGCUUUCCAUUCUUACCAAAUUCAUCAAAACAAAUACCUUUAAGGUCAUUAUGUAUUCCUCAGCUCUGCAGUUGUUUUUACACUCGACUUUACAUAAUGAGACAUGGGAAAAUAAGCACCCUCAGGAAAAACCAAUUCUUCCAGAGGCACAAGAAACAGAAAAGAAACAGCACAGACAAGAAAUAGACAGUUGCCAAAGCUCAGCAUGGAUCCAAAAUCAUUCAAUCAAUCAAUCAACCAUCACACCAACAAGAAUUUUUAGCCACUUAUGUGCCAAGCACUAUGUCUCAUGCUCUGGAUAUAAAGGAAACGACAUCACAAUGGAGUUUCAGGCAUUGUUGCAGAGGUGGCUGAGAUGUUUGUGUAAUGAAGAGCAUUAUAAAGAAUUCUUUCAGGCCCCUCAAACACACUUUCACUGCCUGGUCAUGAGAAGCUCACAGCUUGUCAUUGCAAGGUUUGACUCUUUCCUUAUUGAUCCUGCUUUUCACUCUCCCUUUGUGUCCUCUCAAUGUCUCUGCUCCUACUUGCCCUUUCUUUUAUUCCUUCCCAUAUUAAUGAAUAUAAAAUAAGAAGCAGUAGCUUAAAAAUAGAAAGCGGAAAAAGUCAGAAAAAUAUGUUCUGUUUUCAACUUCUCACUUCCAUAAAAAGGACACCUCUCGUGCCCCACGUCUCAUUCUCUCCGGCCCUCUCCCUGUGACAUGAAUUUGGUAAUGGGUUACUAAUAAGAAAACUAAUCUCUACUAAUGUAUGUAAGUGACAAGUCUAUGUUUUUCCUGACUGUCCUCUAAUUGGAAACACAGGUGGCUCCUCAAUUUCAUAUAUUCGUGUCUUUAAAACACAUUGAACCAAUUACCUGGAUUAUUCAGACAGUAAAUUUGCUUUUGCCUCAAUUCUCCCUUUCAUUUGGGCUUGGCAAAACUGAUUAUAUACAUUAAUGCAUUUGGAAUAAGAAUUGUUAUAUUGAGAACAAAAAAUAUUACAACUAAGUAGUAACCUUCUUGAAGGUAAGAUCUAUGUGUCAUUACAAUGUAUCUAAGUCCACAAUUUCAAAUGGCAUCUUGUACACACAGUUCUAAAGAAUAUUGAAGUUGAUAAAGUUUCAUUAUCACUACUCUAUGCCAUAUUUAAUGUAAAUAUUCUUAUUCUUCUGAUGUUAUGGAAGGGGAAAUGAGGACAGAGAUGCAAUGGAAGUCUGAGUGUUACAUGACUAGUAAGGGGUAGAGAUGAAAAUUAUACUAGGAUAUUCUAAAUCCAUUUUCUUUCUAACAAUGCCGUGUUGCUCUAAAAUAUUUCUUGAAUUAUAUUCAUUUGGGGGAAAAGAGGGCAAAACAACCUUCAAUAUUUCAUGAAUUUAGGUAAAAUAACAAUUUCAAC
ensembl:lncRNA